rnacentral:rRNA from 1 species
AUCCGGAAUUAUUGGGCGUAAAGCGUCCGUAGGUGGGUUAUCAAGUCAGUUGUUAAAGAGUGAAGCUUAACUUCAUAGAGGCGACUGAAACUGAUAGUCUAGAGUAUGGUAGGGGUAGAGGGAAUUUCCAGUGUAGCGGUGAAAUGCGUAGAUAUUGGAAAGAACACCGGUGGCGAAAGCGCUCUACUGGGCCAUAACUGACACUGAGGGACGAAAGCUAGGGGAGCGAAAGGGAUUAGAUACCCCUGUAGUCCUAGCCGUAAACGAUGGAUACUAGGCGUUGCCCGUAUCGACCCGGGCAGUGUCGUAGCCAACGCGUUAAGUAUCCCGCCUGGGGAGUACGCCGGCAACGGUGAAACUCAAAGGAAUUGACGGGGGCCCGCACAAGCGGUAAUCGAAU